rnacentral:rRNA from 1 species
UACGUAGGGUGCGAGCGUUAGUCGGAAUUACUGGGCGUAAAGCGUGCGCAGGCGGUUCGUUGUGUCGGCGGUGAAAGCCCCGGGCUCAACCUGGGAAUGGCCGUUGAAACUGGCGAACUGGAGUGUGGCAGAGGGGGGUGGAAUUCCGCGUGUAGCAGUGAAAUGCGUAGAUAUGCGGAGGAACACCGAUGGCGAAGGCAAUCCCCUGGGCCUGCACUGACGCUCAUGCACGAAAGCGUGGGGAGCAAACAGG